AUGGCGCCCGCCGCGAAGAAGCCCCCGCUCAAGUCCAGCUCCUCGCACAACUCCGCCGCGGGGGACGCCGCCGGGGGGAAGACCAUCGAGGAGACCUACCAGAAGAAGACGCAGCUGGAGCACAUCCUGCUGCGCCCGGACACCUACGUCGGCUCGGUGCAGAAGCACACGCAGCCGCUCUGGGUCUACGAGGGCGGCGCCAUGGUGCACCGCCCCGUCGCCUACGUCCCCGGCCUCUACAAGAUCUUCGACGAGAUCCUCGUCAACGCUGCGGACAACAAGCAGCGCGACCCCUCCAUGGACUCCCUCAAGGUCGACAUCGACGUCGGCGGCUGCUGCAUCUCCAUCUACAACAACGGGGACGGCGUGCCCGUCGAGAUCCACCAGGAGGAGGGCGUCUACGUGCCCGAGCUCAUCUUCGGCCACCUCCUCACCAGCAGCAACUACGACGACAACGAGCGCAAGACCACCGGCGGCAGGAACGGCUACGGCGCCAAGCUCGCCAACAUCUUCUCCACCGAGUUCGUCAUCGAGACCGCCGAUGGGCGCCGGCAGAAGAGGUACCGUCAGGUUUUCUCUGAUAACAUGGGGAAGAAGUCGGAGCCUGAGAUUAAGAAGUGCAAGCAGUCAGAGAACUGGACCAAAGUUACCUUCAAGCCUGACCUUGCAAAGUUCAACAUGACCGAGCUCGAAGCUGAUGUGGUGGCACUCAUGAUGAAGCGAGUAGUUGAUAUGGCAGGCACCCUUGGCAAAACGGUGAAGGUUGAGUUGAACGGCGAGAGGGUGGGAGUAAAAGGAUUCUCAGAUUAUGUGCAACUGUAUAUCGACUCUGCUUCCAAAGAAGGCAUCGAGCUACCAAGAAUUUACCAGAAGGUAAAUGAUCGUUGGGAGGUGUGUGUGAGUCUAAGUGAAGGCCAGUUCCAGCAGGUCAGUUUUGUAAACGGAAUUGCAACCAUAAGAGGUGGAACUCACGUUGACUACGUCGCGAACCAAAUUGCCAGCCAUGUGAUGGGCGUUGUGAACAAGAAGAACAAGCAGGCUAACAUGAAGUUGCAUACAGUGAAGGGCUACCUAUGGGUAUUUGUUAAUGCGCUCAUUGACAACCCUGCAUUUGAUUCACAGACCAAAGAGACCUUGACGACUCGUCAAGCAAGCUUUGGGUCCACAUGCGAGCUCUCUGAAGAGUUCCUUAAGAAGGUCUCUGGCUCGGGUGUUGUUAGCAAUCUCCUUUCUUGGGCCGAGUUCAAACUAAACAAGGAACUGAAGAAGACUGAUGGAACCAAGAAGACAAGUAUUGUUGGCAUCCCUAAGCUGGAGGAUGCAAAUGACGCUGGUGGGAAGAACUCUGACAAGUGCACCUUGAUCCUUACCGAGGGAGAUUCAGCAAAGGCUCUAGCAAUGGCUGGUAUAGGUGUAGUAGGAAGGGACCACUAUGGCGUGUUUCCUCUCAGGGGUAAAUUAUUAAAUGUGAGAGAAGCAAGCCAUAAGCAGCUCAUGGAGAAUGCAGAGAUCCAGAAUAUAAAGAAAAUAUUAGGUCUGCAGCAUGAAAAGAAGUACGAUAGUACGAAGGGCUUGAGAUACGGCCACCUCAUGAUAAUGACAGAUCAGGACCAUGAUGGUUCCCACAUCAAAGGGUUGCUGAUCAAUUUCAUUCACAAAGAGUGGCCAUCUCUCCUCAAAGUUCCUUCUUUCUUGGUUGAGUUCAUCACUCCAAUUAUCAAGGCAACCAAGGGCAAAGCUGUCAAGGCAUUUUACUCUAUGCCAGACUAUGAAGCAUGGAAAGAGAGCUUAGGUGGAAAUGCAAGUUCGUGGACUAUAAAGUACUACAAGGGGCUGGGAACCAGCACAGCUCAAGAAGGUCGGGAUUACUUUGAAGAUAUUACCCAUCACAAGAAAGAUUUUGUCUGGGCAGAUGACAAAGAAGAUGGUGAGGCUAUUGAGUUAGCAUUCAGCAAGAAAAAGAUUGCUGAGAGAAAGGACUGGCUGACCAACUAUCAGCCUGGAACUUGCCUUGACCAACGGGAGAAACGCAUCAAGUACAGUGAUUUUAUCAACAAAGAGCUGAUUCUCUUCUCGAUGGCAGACCUUGAACGGUCAAUACCUUCAAUGGUCGAUGGCUUUAAACCAGGACAGAGGAAGAUUUUGUUUUGCUCGUUCAAGAAGAAUUUGGUUAAAGAAUCAAAGGUUCGCCAAAGAGCUUUUGAAUUUGUGUAUUGGAAUCAUCAUGCAUAUUCCUUAAUUUGUUACCUUUAUUGGCUACAGGUGGCACAGUUUAUUGGUUAUGUGUCAGAACACUCAGCAUACCACCAUGGUGAGCAGAGUCUAGCAAGCACAAUUAUAGGAAUGGCUCAGGAUUUUGUUGGCAGCAAUAAUAUCAAUCUUUUGGAGCCCCGUGGCCAGUUUGGUACCAGGAAUGCGGGGGGCAAAGAUGCUGCUAGUGCUAGGUACAUCUUCACCAGAUUACAACCUAUCACCCGCUUAAUUUUCCCAAAGGAUGAUGAUGUUCUUCUGAACUAUUUGAAUGAAGAUGGGCAGUCAAUUGAACCCAGUUGGUAUAUGCCAAUCAUUCCCAUGGUUUUGGUCAAUGGAAGUGAAGGCAUUGGCACUGGGUGGAGCACCUAUGUCCCAAACUACAAUCCAAGAGACAUUAUUGCUAAUCUGAAAAGGUUGCUAAAUAACGAGACUAUCGUACCAAUGGUUCCUUGGUACAGGGGGUUCAAGGGCUCUUUGAAGGAGACAAGUUCAAAGGCAACUGGUGUGACAUAUACCAUCACUGGUGUUAUAGAGGAAGUUGCUGACACCAGGCUUAAAAUUACUGAGCUUCCCGUCCGCCGCUGGACUACAGAUUACAAAGAAUUUCUUGAAUCCAUGUGUCCUAUUCCUAUUAAGGAAAAGGAAAAGAGCAAGGACAAGAACAAGGACAAGAAGAAGGAAAAGGAUAAGGACAAGGAAAAGGAGAAGGAAAAGAGCAAGGAACCACCAUUGUUAGAGGAAAUAAGGUCGCAGUGUGAUCAUGCGGAUGUAGAUUUUGAGCUUAUCCUGACAGAGCAAAACAUGAAUAUAGCCAAGCAAGAAGGCCUUGAGAAGAAAUUCAAGCUGACUACCACAAUAGGAACAACAAACAUGCACUUAUUUGACUCAAAUGGUAAAAUCCGAAAAUAUGACACCCCAGAGGACGUACUUAAAGAGUUCUUUGAUUUGAGGCUCGACUUCUAUGUCAGACGAAAGAAAGUAAUGUUGGAAAACAUGGGGAUUGAGUUGCUCAAGUAUAAGAACAAAGUUAGGUUUAUUCUUGCUGUUAUUUCUGGGGACAUCAUAGUCAAUAACAGGAAGAGGGCAGAGCUAUUCCUGGAGCUGAAGCAGAAGAAAUAUGAUCCUUUCCCAAAGAAAAAACCCACGGCUGAGCCAGUUGCUGUAGGAUCUACAGAAGUAGAUGAAGAAAAUGAUGAGGGUCCUGUUGAGGCAGCAGCAAGUGAUUAUGAGUAUCUUCUCGCAAUGUCUAUUGGUACCUUGACUAUGGAGAAGGUGAAGGAGCUCAUCGCGCAGCAGGAUAAGGUAGAUGAAGAUCUGAAUAUCCUGAGUAAUACAGAGCCAAAUACUCUUUGGCUGAGAGACCUUGAUGCUCUUGAGAAGGAACUGGAUGUGCUUGAUGCAAAACUUGAAGCUGAGCAGAAUGACAGAUCACGCAAGCGCGCCAAAAACGCGAAGGAAUCUAAUGCAGCACCCAAGAGACAGCCUAAGAAGGCUGCGGCCAAGUCUCAGAAGGCAAAUUUGGCUGGGAGCGACGAUGAAGAUUUUGAACCACCGAAUCCGAAACCUGCAGCGCAAAAGAAGAAACCAGCACCCAAGAAGGCAAGUGCACCGGUGAAAGAUGAAGAGGACGACGAAGUGGCUCAUCUCAAAGACCGUCUGGCCGCUUAUAAUCUUGACGACUCCUCUCCAGAACCUAGUGAAGAACAGCAGAAGGCAAAGAAAGGGAGGAACGGACCAAGCAAGAGAGGCGCAGCGAAGAAGGCCAUGUCAUCCCUAGCUGAGUCCGAUGACGAAGACAUGGCAGAGCCCCACCAUGAGAGCGAGGGUGGGGAGUCUUCCAUGGAACUUGAGAAGAAGACCAAGGGAAGAAAGCCUGCUGCUGAGAAGCCGAAGGCUACCACCAUCAGGAAGAGGGCGCCGGCUCAGAGCAAAGUCAUGAAGCAGAAAGUGAUGGAGGAAAUACUCAAGCCUACUGAUGACAGCAACCUCAGCGCUCCUUCCCCUGAGAAGAAGGUCCGCAGGAUCAGGUCCUCCCCCUUCAACAAGAAGAGCGGCUCGCUUCUGCAGAGAGCGGCGAGCGCUUCAACAGGGGCAGAAGAUGCCGAGGCUCCUCCUUCCGGCAGCUCUGCUGAGCCGGUUGCACCGAGAAGGACAGUAAGGGAGAGGAAGGUGACGGUAGUCUACGCGGAUUCUGGGAGCGAAGAUGAUGAGUCCGAGGAUGAAGAUGCGUCGGAGCCGAGCGAAUCUGACUACUCCGGUGAGGACUAG
rnacentral:rRNA from 1 species